UAUUGGACAAUGGGGGCAACCCUGAUCCAGCCAUGCCGCGUGUGUGAAGAAGGUCUUCGGAUUGUAAAGCACUUUUAGUUGGGAGGAAGGGCUGUAGGUUAAUACCCUGAAGUUUUGACGUUACCAAUAGAAUAAGCAUCGGCUAACUCUGUGCCAGCACCCGCGGUAAUGCAGAGGGUGCAAGCGUUAAGCGGAAUUAAUGGGCGUAAGCCGAGGGAAGGUGGUUCAGUAAGAUGGGUGUGAAAGCCCCGGGCUUAACCAGGGAACUGCUUUCAUAACUGCUGAGCUAGAGUACGGUAGAGGGUAGUGGAAUUUCCUGUGUAGCGGUGAAAUGCGUAGAUAUAGGAAGGAACACCAGUGGCUAAGGCGACUACCUGGACUGAUACUGACACUGAGGUGCGAAAGCGUGGGGAGCAAACA
rnacentral:rRNA from 1 species